CGUCUGCUGGCAAAUAUGAAACGAUGCUGCAGCAGUCCCUGGGGAUUUUUUGAUGGAAUAAUGUGUUUUGGACUAAAUAUUUUUAAUGGAUUGGAUUGUCUGGACCUUUGAUAAAGUAACAAGACCGUUUUUGUUGGAAUAUAAUCGAUCGGUGGAUUACUAUGAGGCUUCAUAAGUGAGUCGCGUCAAUUUUGCUUGUACUGGUUGGUCUGACAGAAGCGCUGAUUGUACCCGCUGUGGCGAUUGUAUCUUGAAAUGGUUUGCAUUGGUCAAAUUGGGAGGAGUUUAGCUUUCAAACGGAGUAUCACAUGAGUACGAGGUUAACAUAGCUGUUGUGUGCACAUGCCAAAAGCUGCCGCCAGGACCUGACGGCCUGUGGGCGGGCUGUUGGAAUUUUAAACAGGACUGACAGUGACCCUUGCUGCAGCCCAAGCUGCAACAGCACAUGGAUCCUGCAUAAAAUCGGGAGCGUCGCAUUUCAUGCAGCCAAAGGAAACGACCGUCCGCAGCGAGAGGGAGUCAACAGGGCCAGGGAGAGGAGGUCGCGGAGUGGCCCUGUACUGAUCGGUGGCGAUUAGGGCUGUCCCCAGCUAAGGAUUUAAGAAUCAGAACUGUCAAGUCCUGCCCAUAGUGGACUGAUAGUCGAAUCAUAUGUUUUUGUGCACAGCCAUUGCAAGCUGAAGGGUAGGGGGGAAGAAUAACACACUGUAGCACCGCUUUAAUCUUGAGAAGCUGCAGAGCUGAAGUCUCUUUAUCAAAUUGGAUAGUUAGAUCCAAUUUGAUAAAGAAUUGUUUUGGGAGACACACAGGAAUUGUUACAAACAAAUACAGGAAUCUAGGUAGUACUGUCAUUUUAAGGGCGUUAAUGCGGCCCGGCGACAGAAAGUCUGGACUAAGAGUGGGGGCAUCAAGAGAGUCCAAAAACGAUUGCAUUUUAGCUGUAUUCGUAUCUACAUCUGACAAAUAUAGAUUGGAGGAGUAGUUUUUUAAAUUGGCUGUUUAUAAGUUUUGGGUCACCUCUGGUUACACCCGGACCAACAUAAAUCUCUGUAAUUUGGGAAUUACUGGCUGUCUGUCAGAGUUGGUGUGUGAGUAUUCGACCGGCUUUCUCGCCAUGUUUGUAGAAUUUUUGUUUGGUUCUAAGCUAAUCUUUUACUGUCUGAUGAGUAGAAAGAUUAUUAAAUUCCAUUUGUAAUGAGAUAGAAUGAAUUUCUGAAAGGCGUUUAUUGGGUUCAUUAUUACGUGCCACGUAUGAAAUUAUCUGACCUCUAAUGUACGCUUUAUGUGAUUUCCACAAAGUGAGAUGGGAUAUGUCCAGACGGUCAUUUAUUUCAAGAAAAAGUUCUAAUUGUUCAGCAAUAAAUUUUUCAAAUUCGGUA